AUUGAACGCUGGCGGCAUGCCUUACACAUGCAAGUCGAACGGCAGCACGGGAGCAAUCCUGGUGGCGAGUGGCGAACGGGUGAGUAAUAUAUCGGAACGUGCCCAGUCGUGGGGAUAACGUAGCGAAGCUACGCUAAUACCGCAUACGAUCUAUGGAUGAAAGCGGGGGAUCGCAAGACCUCGCGCGAUUGGAGCGGCCGAUAUCAGAUUAGGUAGUUGGUGAGGUAAAGGCUCACCAAGCCGACGAUCUGUAGCUGGUCUGAGAGGACGACCAGCCACACUGGGACUGAGACACGGCCCAGACUCCUACGGGAGGCAGCAGUGGGGAAUUUUGGACAAUGGGCGGCAAGCCUGAUCCAGCAAUGCCGCGUGCAGGAUGAAGGCCUCGGUGUAAC
rnacentral:rRNA from 1 species